rnacentral:rRNA from 1 species
UACGUAGGGGGCAAGCGUUGUCCGGAUUUACUGGGCGUAAAGAGCGCGCAGGCGGUCGUUCAAGUCGCGUGUGAAAGCCCCCGGCUCAACUGGGGAGGGUCACGCGAUACUGAUCGACUCGAAGGCAGGAGAGGGUAGUGGAAUUCCCGGUGUAGUGGUGAAAUGCGUAGAUAUCGGGAGGAACACCAGUGGCGAAGGCGACUACCUGGCCUGUUCUUGACGCUGAGGCGCGAAAGCUAGGGGAGCAAAACGGG